AACCUAUUAGCCUAAAUGGAAGAGCAUGUGCUAUACGCAAGAUGUGGGUUCGAUUCCCACAUGGGCUA
rnacentral:tRNA from 1 species